rnacentral:tmRNA from 1 species
GGGGAUAAUCUUGGUUUCUACCUGGAGAAUCGUUGGAAAUAUAUGCUAUCGAGGAGAUGUUUGUGACUUCUCUUAAUCAACACAAACAAGCAUAACUGCUAAAACAAAUACAAGAGUAGCUUCUUUAAAAGCUUACGCAACUGGUGCUGUUAAAGCAUUAAAUAAUACUUUAGCUUUUGCUAAAGUAGCGUAGUCACUCCCUCAUAGAGGGAACUGACAGUAGCCUUCUUGAUUGAUGAGCGCCGCUUGGCCUGCUACACAUUUUAUAGAAAGUUUUAAUCUUCUACGUUCUAUAAAAUUAUAAAUUAAGAUUUUUUAUAAGCUGGUUUUGAUUUAGUCUUAACUUAUAAAAUAUUAAUAGAUUAAAUUAUUAAUUAUUAUUUUUGUUUGUUCCAUAAAUAAUUAAUUAUCAGAAUAAACUAUGAUAGUAGAAUUAUAUGUUCAGCCUCUAGGGACGUCGGUUCAAAUCCGUCUAUCUCCACCA